rnacentral:rRNA from 1 species
UACAGGGGAUGCAAGUGUUAUCCAGAAUUAUUGGGCGUAAAAGGUCUGUAGAUGGAACUUUAAGUCUUUUGUUAAACUUGUAGGCUUAACCUAGAAUCGGCAAAAGAAACUGUUUUUCUUGAGUAUGGCCGAGUAAAAGGGAAUUUCCAGUGGAGCGGUGAAAUGUGUUGAGAUUGGAAAGAACACCGAUGGCGAAAGCACUUUUUCAGGCCAUACUGACAUUGUAAGACGAAAGCUAGGGGAGCAAACAGG